rnacentral:rRNA from 1 species
UACGUAGGCAGCAAGCGUUGUUCGGAGUUACUGGGCGUAAAGGGUGCGUAGGCGGUCCUAUAAGUAUGGUGUGAAAUCUCCCGGCUUAACUGGGAGGGUGCGCUAUAGACUGCGGGGCUUGAGUGUGGGAGAGAUGAGUGGAAUUCCCGGUGUAGCGGUGAAAUGCGUAGAUAUCGGGAAGAACACCCGUGGCGAAGGCGGCUCUCUGGGACGGUACUGACGCUGAGACGCGAAAGCGUGGGGAGCGAACAGG